rnacentral:rRNA from 1 species
UACGUAGGGGGCGAGCGUUGUCCGGAUUUAUUGGGCGUAAAGCGCCCGCAGGCGGUGCGCCAAGUGUGGGGUGACAGCGACCGGCUUAACCGGUCGAGUGUCCUACAGACUGGCGCACUUGAGGGCCACAGAGGGACAUGGAACUCCAGGUGUAGUGGUGAAAUGCGUAGAUAUCUGGAAGAACACCAAAGGCGAAGGCAGUGUCCUGGGUGGCCGCUGACGCUGAGAGGCGAAAGCCAGGGGAGCGAACGGG